GGGGGUGUAACUCAGUGGUAGAGCACUUGCCUCACACACUCAAGGCCCUGGGUUAGAUCCCCAGUGUCACCA
rnacentral:tRNA from 1 species